rnacentral:misc_RNA from 1 species
GAUGAAGAACGCAGCGAAAUGCGAUAAGUAAUGUGAAUUGCAGAAUUCAGUGAAUCAUCGAGUCUUUGAACGCACAUUGCGCCCCCUGGUAUUCCGGGGGGCAUGCCUGUCCGAGCGUCAUUGCUGCCCUCAAGCACGGCUUGUGUGUUGGGCCCCCGUCCCCGGUUUCCCCCGGGGACGGGCCCGAAAGGCAGCGGCGGCACCGCGUCCGGUCCUCGAGCGUAUGGGGCUUUGUCACCCGCUCUGUAGGCCCGGCCGGCGCCAGCCGACACCCAACUUUAUUUCUAAGGUUGACCGCGGAUCAGGUAGGGAUACCCGCUGAACUUAAGCAUAUCAAUAAGCGGAGGA